GAUGAACGCUGGCGGCGUGCUUAACACAUGCAAGUCGAACGGAAAGGCUCCUGCUUGCCGGGGUUUUCGAAUGGCGAACGGGUGAGUAACACGUGGGUGAUCUGCCCUGCACUUCGGGAUAAGCCUGGGAAACUGGGUCUAAUACCGGAUAGGACGAUGGUUUGGACGCCAUUGUGGAAAGUUUUUCGGUGUGGGAUGAGCUGGAGGCUUAUGAGCUUGUUGGUGGGGUAAUGGCGUACCAAGGCGGCGACGGGUAGCCGGCCUGGGAGGGUGCACAGCCCCAAUGGGCCUGAGAGAGGCACCAGUCGGCAACGUGAGGCAAUGGUGGGAAGUAUGGCGCAGUGGGCGCGAGCGUGUGACGAAGGCGCCGCGUGGGGAAAGACGGCCUUCGGGGGAUGAACUCAUUUCGCUAGAGACGAGGCGCAAGUGACGGUACCUGGAGAAGAAGCACCGGCUAACUACGUG
rnacentral:rRNA from 1 species